GGCCAAGCUUCUGCGUCUGUUUUUUGGCCAACCCUUGUUCUGCCCUUUUUGGCCAACCGUUGUUUGAGCUGCUUAGCCCUCUGUUCAGUCCUCUACGCCGCGUGUUCGAGCCUCUGUUCCGCGGCCUUUCAGCCACCGUUCUGCCAUUGUCUGCCUCCAUUCAGCCAUCUCCGUCGCGUUUUAGAGCUCCUCCCUUUCUAUUUCUUGUAUUUUGCUUUGAGAUAGUUAAUGGUGUCAUUGAAGUUGAAGGAAUAGCAGAGGAGAAAACUGCAGGUGCUGAAGAGGAUGAAGAAAAAGGAGUACCUGCUUUUUGGCUCAAUGCAAUGAAAAAUAAUGAAGUGUUAGCUGAUGAGAUCUUGGUUAGCAGCUUGAAUCCCAAAUAAACUACAACAGCAGAUAGAUACAUCAAUCUAUGGAUCAGAAACUACAGUAACUCAUAACAUUAAGAUGGAAUUGAAACCUACAAAUUAUAAGAUGGAAGAUUACAUUUACCUGAAAGAACUAUUCUAGAGUGUUGUCAGCUUCACAGGGCAAGACUCCUUUUAGUAGCUUCCAUAUUAGAUAAAAGAUCUUUAAUGUCUGCCUCCAUUCUCCUUUUCAUGUUGAAAUACUCCAGAUGUGCUCGUUCUAAUGCUUGAAUUUCUUCGAGUUUCUGCCUAUGCAUUUCCUCUGUCUCACCCAGUCUCAGCUUCGCAAUUCGCUGAAAGUCUUUUGGGAUAAUACUCAUUUGCAGCUCAGGCGCCAGAGUCCUUUUAUCAUCUUGAUCAAAGCUGG